rnacentral:rRNA from 1 species
CAGCGCCACAAGUGGCAACCACGUUUAUUGGGCCUAAAGCGUCCGUAGUUGGUGUAGUGUGUCUUUUGUGAAAUCGUUAGUCAUAACCUAACGGACUGCAAAAGAAACUGCUAUGCUGGAAAUCGGGAGAUGUCAGGAGUAUUCUUUGGGGAGCGGUAAAAUGCUUUAAUCCUUAGAGGACUGCCGGUGGCGAAGGCGCCUGACAAGAACGAAUUUGACAAUGAGGGACGAAAGCUAGGGGAGCAAACCGGAUUAGAUACCCGAGUAGUCC